UGCGCGUGUGUGCACGAGUGUGAGCGCCCAGGCAGUUGGGAGCGCGCGUUAGGGAUUCUGCUGGCAUCGCAGUGUGGAGAACUGGAGGCAGGAGCGGGGCGCGCAGGGGAGCGCGGGGCCCUCCCGUGCACACGCACACGCACCGCGCGCGCGCACACACACACACACAUACACAUACACACAUACAUACACUCGCGCACACGCCCUCCCUGCCUCGCUCGUUGCCGCGGCCACCAUCUCAGAGUCGAGCCCUGCGUAGCGGGAACCCGAGCCGGAGCGGGAACCAGAGAGGAGCCCAGCGGGGGAAUGCGGCCCCGGAGCGGAGCUGCGCGCCGACUGCGCGCCCUGGACGCCUCCUGCCCUCACAGGCCCUGAGACCCCCGAGCCCACAGGCAAAGAGAGAGAUCGCCAGGCCCCCUCCCAGUUACACUCCCUACAAGCCCAUCUGACCUGAGGCAAAGAUCAAUCUUCCGAGUCUUGCAGCUCCGAGGGGGAAGAGAAGAGAAAGAAAACGGGAGGCGAAGGAAAAAAACUCCCUGGACCAAUUUCCGCUGGCUAACACGAUUACUUGGCUGCCUGGCAGCAGCACCAGCUGUUGGCAGCCAUCCUGGCCCCCCACCAGUCGCGCUCAGUUGCCGG
rnacentral:lncRNA from 1 species